UGGAUGUCCAUGGCAACGUGAAAUUGCUUC
rnacentral:sRNA from 1 species